rnacentral:rRNA from 1 species
ACUCGAGUGGCGAACGGGUGAGUAACACGUGGGUGAUCUGCCCUGCACUUCGGGAUAAGCCUGGGAAACUGGGUCUAAUACCGGAUAGGACGAUGGUUUGGAUGCCAUUGUGGAAAGUUUUUCGGUGUGGGAUGAGCUCGCGGCCUAUCAGCUUGUUGGUGGGGUAAUGGCCUACCAAGGCGUCGACGGGUGGCCGGCCUGAGAGGGUAUACGGCCACAUUGGGACUGAGAUACGGCCCAG